rnacentral:rRNA from 1 species
GAGCUUGCUCCUGGAUUCAGCGGCGGACGGGUGAGUAAUGCCUAGGAAUCUGCCUGGUAGUGGGGGACAACGUUUCGAAAGGAACGCUAAUACCGCAUACGUCCUACGGGAGAAAGCAGGGGACCUUCGGGCCUUGCGCUAUCAGAUGAGCCUAGGUCGGAUUAGCUAGUUGGUGAGGUAAUGGCUCACCAAGGCGACGAUCCGUAACUGGUCUGAGAGGAUGAUCAGUCACACUGGAACUGAGACACGGUCCAGACUCCUACGGGAGGCAGCAGUGGGGAAUAUUGGACAAUGGGCGAAAGCCUGAUCCAGCCAUGCCGCGUGUGUGAAGAAGGUCUUCGGAUUGUAAAGCACUUUAAGUUGGGAGGAAGGGUUGUAGAUUAAUACUCUGCAAUUUUGACGUUACCGACAGAAUAAGCACCGGCUAACUCUGUGCCAGCAGCCGCGGUAAUACAGAGGGUGCAAGCGUUAAUCGGAAUUACUGGGCGUAAAGCGCGCGUAGGUGGUUUGUUAAGUUGGAUGUGAAAUCCCCGGGCUCAACCUGGGAACUGCAUCCAAAACUGGCAAGCUAGAGUAUGGUAGAGGGUGGUGGAAUUUCCUGUGUAGCGGUGAAAUGCGUAGAUAUAGGAAGGAACACCAGUGGCGAAGGCGACCACCUGGACUGAUACUGACACUGAGGUGCGAAAGCGUGGGGAGCA